UGUUAGGGUGACAAAGUUGGAUACGAAUCAAAGAGUAAAGAAGUACUUCUUUACUCUUUGAUACAAAUUGUUGUUUACCUUUACUGAUA
rnacentral:snoRNA from 1 species